UUGAACGCUGGCGGAAUGCUUUACACAUGCAAGUCGAGCGGCAGCGCGGGGGCAACCCUGGCGGCGAGCGGCGAACGGGUGAGUAACAUAUCGGAACGUACCUUUUAGUGGGGGAUAACUAUCCGAAAGGAUAGCUAAUACCGCAUACGCCCUGAGGGGGAAAGGGGGGGAUCGCAAGACCUCUCGCUAAAAGAGCGGCCGAUAUCGGAUUAGCUAGUUGGUGGGGUAAAGGCUCACCAAGGCGACGAUCCGUAGCGGGUCUGAGAGGACGGCCCGCCACACUGGAACUGAGACACGGUCCAGACUCCUACGGGAGGCAGCAGUGGGGAAUUUUGGACAAUGGGGGCAACCCUGAUCCAGCCAUUCCGCGUGAGUGAAGAAGGCCUUCGGGUUGUAAAGCUCUUUCGGCAGGAACGAAACGGUCGUCCCUAAUACGGGUGGCUAAUGACGGUACCUGAAGAAGAAGCACCGGCUAACUACGU
rnacentral:rRNA from 1 species